UCUGCUUUAAUCAAAACACCUAAGCUACAACAAUAAAAAAAAACAUAUUCUAAUCUUAUAAAUCAUGAGCUUCACAAAAGUUCUAUUAACAAUUUUUCUCAUUGUGAUUGUUUCAACAAAUGUUGAAGCUAUUGGUGAAGAAAAAAUUUCUUGUAGAGCAAAAUGCGUACUUGCAUGUCUCUUAAGCAAAACACCUCAUUGUCUUUCUGAUUGUUUGAAACAAUGUAAACUUCAUAUUUCUUCUGAAGAAUUUAACGAUGCUCGAAAUUUAAAGAAGAUUUGAAGCUAAUAAAGAGCUGCUUGGAAGAAUGUUCAACACAUUAUUAAAGAAUGAUAUUUAGUCUUAUGUUUAUUGUUACCUUAUAUAGUAUUGAUAUACAUUUUUAUUUAAAUGAAGUGGAGUAAUUUAUUUUGGUAAUUCUAUCUUUUAAUAUUUCAGCGUCCA